GGUACUAUACUUUAAAUUUAAAAGGAUUAAUUUGCAUUUGAUUAUUGAGUUAUUAACUCUAGUUCCA
rnacentral:tRNA from 1 species